rnacentral:rRNA from 1 species
UACGUAGGGGGCAAGCGUUGUCCGGAAUCAUUGGGCGUAAAGCGCGUGUAGGCGGCCCGAUAAGUCCGCUGUGAAAGUCCAGGGCUCAACCCUGGGAUGCCGGUGGAUACUGUCGGGCUCGAGUCCGGAAGAGGCGAGUGGAAUUCCUGGUGUAGCGGUGAAAUGCGCAGAUAUCAGGAAGAACACCCGUGGCGAAGGCGGCUCUCUGGGACGGUACUGACGCUGAGACGCGAAAGCAUGGGGAGCGAACAGG